rnacentral:rRNA from 1 species
CUCAAUACCAAGCUAAGCUUGAGGGUUGAAAUGACGCUCGAACAGGCAUGCCCCCCGGAAUACCAAGGGGCGCAAUGUGCGUUCAAAGAUUCGAUGAUUCACUGAAUUCUGCAAUUCACAUUACUUAUCGCAUUUCGCUGCGUUCUUCAUCGAUGCCA